UUUCACAAUCCUGCAUGUCACAGCCUUAGGACAGCAACGACAAUGGAAGAGUGUCAGAAGACCCUGAUCUGGAUGGGUGAGCUAUGAUAACUAAAGAUGGGAGUCACUAUGCCCUUCCCAGCCUAGCCUGGGGUAGUUCUAAAGCAAAUAGCUUCUCUAUGGUGCAGUCAGAGACAACGAGACAGGCUGAAUCAAUUCUGCUUCUCUUGCUUCAGAGUUACAUAUGUUGGGAAGUUGCUGGUCCUUCAUCCCAAGUCUCAGACCCAGACAUGUCCACCAAACUCAAGGAUGAAAUGCAGUCUGGAGCCAGGCUCUGCUGAAUUCACCUCAUCAGCUGAACCUCAACUAACCCACGCCCUGAGAAGCAAGAACAAUAAAUACAUGCUGUGGAAAUUAUUUGACAUUUUGGGUUUGACUUUUUGAUCAGCAUUUUCAUGGCAAUACCUAGCUGAUAAGAAAGCUCUAUGGAUCGAAAACUUAAGCCUCCUGCAAGUGGUAGAAAUUGGAGUACAAGAUGCAGCAGUUUGAAGUGGCAACCCGUGUGAAGUGGACGUACUUAGCUGGAGCAAUUUAGGUUUCUGAGGAAGGGAGUUAACACAUUCCUUAUGGAUCAAGAUAAAAAAAAAAUUUACACACGACACAUUACACUAGGUUAAAAUUGCGUGUUGAAAUUAGAACUUAAAUAUAAGAUCAAAGAGAUAAAGGUAUAAAAUUUCCAACUUAAAUAAUUUAAUCACAUAUAUAUUCAGUGGGUAAGCAGGGAUAGAAAAUCAUUAUGGUAUUUAGAGUCUGUUGGAUGCAUUUUAAAAAGUGAUAUAACAGUUUUAUUUAAAAUGUCAAUUUUUAUAGUGUUGGAUGUUCCAUCUAUGCAAUUAAUUAAAUGAAAGUUGAAAUGU